UCCUGCCCAGUGACCCUGUGUUCAACGGCCGCGGUAUUCUAACCACGCGAAGGUAGCGUAAUCACUUGUUUUCUAAUUAAAGACCAGUAUGAAUGGCCACACGAGAACUUAACUGUCUCCCUUGUCCAAUCAGUGAAACUGAUCUCCUCGUGCAGAAGCGAGGAUAUUACCAUAAGACGAGAAGACCCUAUGGAGCUUUAAACUUAUUAUCAACUAUUACACCUGUCUCUCCACGGAAUUAACAAACAACUAAAUAAGUUUGAUACUAGUUUUAGGUUGGGGCGACCAUGGAGAAAAAAAAAUCCUCCCUGAUGAUAAUUUAACCAUGAGCCACAGCUCUAAGUAUUAAGAUACUUAACUCCUAUUGACCCAUUUUAUGAUCAACGAACCAAGUUACCCUAGGGAUAACAGCGCAAUCCACUUCAAGAGUUCAUAUCGACAAGUGGGUUUACGACCUCGAUGUUGGAUCAGGGCAUCCUAGUGGUGCAGCCGCUACUAAAGGUUCGUUUGUUCAACGAUUAAAGCCC
rnacentral:rRNA from 1 species